GAUGAACGCUAGCGGCAGGCUUAACACAUGCAAGUCGAGGGGCAGCGUGGAGCAGCAAUGCUCUGACGGCGACCGGCGGAAGGGUGCGUAACACGUGAGCGACUUGCCCGUCACAGGGGGAUAACCGGCGGAAACGGCGACUAAUACCCCAUACGAUGUGAUGCUGCAUGGCAUUGCAUUGAAAGAUUCAUCGGUGGCGGGUAGGCUCGCGGGACAUUAGCUAGACGGCGGGGCAACGGCCCACCGUGGCGACGAUGUCUAGGGGUUCUGAGAGGAAGGCCCCCCCACACUGGGACUGAGACACGGCCCAGACUCCUACGGGAGGCAGCAGUGAGGAAUAUUGGUCAAUGGACGAGAGUCUGAACCAGCCAAGUAGCGUGCAGGAUGACGGCCCUAUGGGUUGUAAACUGCUUUUAUAAGGGAAUAAAGUGGGAGUCGUGAGACUUUUUGCAUGUACCUUAUGAAUAAGGACCGGCUAAUUCCGUGCC
rnacentral:rRNA from 1 species